UACGAAGGGGGCUAGCGUUGUUCGGAAUCACUGGGCGUAAAGGGCGCGUAGGCGGCCGUUCAAGUCGGGGGUGAAAGCCUGUGGCUCAACCACAGAAUUGCCUUCGAUACUGUUCGGCUCGAGACCGGAAGAGGUUGGUGGAACUGCGAGUGUAGAGGUGAAAUUCGUAGAUAUUCGCAAGAACACCAGUGGCGAAGGCGGCCAACUGGUCCGGUUCUGACGCUGAGGCGCGAAAGCGUGGGGAGCAAACCGG
rnacentral:rRNA from 1 species